UACCAGCACCCCGAGUGGUCGGGACGUUUUAUUGGGCCUAAAGCAUCCGUAGCCGGUUCUACAAGUCUUCCGUUAAAUCCAACUGCUUAACAGGUGGGCUGCGGAAGAUACUAUAGAGCUAGGAGGCGGGAGAGGCAAGCGGUACUCGAUGGGUAGGGGUAAAAUCCGUUGAUCCAUUGAAGACCACCAGUGGCGAAGGCGGCUUGCCAGAACGCGCUCGACGGUGAGGGA
rnacentral:rRNA from 1 species